ensembl:lncRNA
CUUGUUUAUUCUUCUUCCUUUACUUUUGGAAAUGUCGGUGUCUACAUUUUAAGAUUCCUUAAGACCAACUUCCCCUUUCAUAGCGCUUUCUAUACAAUUUUCCAUCUUCUUUUACUUCUUAACAGUUUAGAAAUAUUUCCAUAACAACAACAAAAAAGACUAAAAAGCACAGUCUGUUUGGUUUUAAGAGCAAUAUUCAUGAAUUCAGAGGGUGAAAAAAAAAACAAAACAGAAGGUAUUUGGUCACGGUAAUAUGAAACUCUCAUCAUACAGAAAUUAUAUCAUUUUGGCUGAACCUUAAUACCUGUCUACAAGAUCUCUGCUCAUGGGAGUGUGUGGAGCAGCAUGGGAUCAGAUUUGUGUCUAUGCACCUGUCUUGGGUACCCAAGUCUGAGGACCAGUCUAACUGUCAAAAUGGUGAGUUGUGCUUCUUGUCAGGUCAGGCAACAUAGGAAGACUAUAGGGUUGCUGUUUGCCUGUGAUGGAAGAAAAUUUGUGAAGUCAAAACUCAGAGUUGAAGCUGGGGGACAACGAAAAGGGUUUUUUAAAUACACCAACAAUGAAAGUUGGACCAGAGAUAACACUGGUUCAUUGCUUGAUGAGAAUAGUCAUCUUACAAACAAAGACACUGACAAAGCAGAAACAUUUAAUGCCUUUUUUUGCCUUUGUCUUCAAUACCAGUGAUGGUCUCUGGCACCUCAUGUGCCCUGGAGUUGGAGGACUGUGACUGCAGUAACGAUCCCAGCCAACCUCAAACUCGUGCAGGAUUUGCUGCUCCACCUGGAUGCAUGCCUGUCAGUCUCACUCCAGUGUCUGGUAAAAUGAUGGAAGAAAAUUAUGCUGGGGUUACUGAAAAACACCUGAAGGACAAUGCAUUCACUGGUCACAGACAACAUGGGUUCAUAAGGGGAAGGUCCUGUUUAACUAACUGAAUUUCCUUUUAUGUCAAGGUCACUCAUCUCGUUGAACAAGGGAAGCCAGUUGAUGUUAUCUUUUUGUUUUUCAGUAUAGCUUUCAGAGCUGUUUUUCAAUGCUGUUUCUCAUAGUAUCCUUCUGGGCAGUGUCCAGCAUAGGGCUAGACAAAAACAUAAUGGGGUAGGUGAGCAAUUGGCUGGUGGGUCAGGCCCGAAGAGUAAGAGGAAGUAGUAAGGGGUUAUAUCAGGUUGGUGGCUGGUCACUAGCAAGUUUCCCAGGACUCCACGUUAGGACCAGUUCUCUUUAACAUUUUCAUAAAUGAUUUGGAUGUAGGGCUAGAUUGCUCGCUAAUUAUACUAAACUGGGAGGAGCUGUUGACCCCUUUGAGGGUGGAGACUCCUUGCAGAGAAAUCCAGACAAAUUAGAGAUUUGGGCAAUCAUCAGCCACAUGAAAUUUGACAAGAGAAACUGCAGAAUUCUGCCUGUGGGGAGGGGCAAUCGUGACUACGCAUACACACUCAAAUAGUUUCUGUUCCAAUGGGAGACCUGUGACAUCCACUGCCUACCUGCCACAAAGCUGAAGAGAGGCUG